GACGAGGGUCCAAGCGUUGUUCGGAAUUAUUGGUGCGUAAAGCGGGUGUAGGUGGCUCUAUAAGUCAGGAGUGGAAAGCCCCCGAGCUUAACUUGGGAAGUGCUUUUGAUACUGUAGAGCGUUGAAUGUGGGAGAGGAGUCGUGGAAUUCCAGGUGUAGUGGUGAAAUACGUAGAUAUCUGGAGGAACACCGGUGGCGAAGGCGGCGAUCUGGCCCAACAUUGUACACUGAGACCCGAAAGCGCGGGGAACUCGAAACGAAGGACGU
rnacentral:rRNA from 1 species